CUACUUUUCAUUUCCAAGUUAUGGCCAGGAGAACUCUAUGUAGCCUACAGGCUGGCUCUUAGAGUGAGACUUUCCAUACCUGGAGCUAAGAGGCACUAUCACAGUAGGGGGCGAUACACAGGGACAACAGAGGAGUCAGCACUGACGCUUGGGAGAGGCAGGGAAGCAGGAACAUGCAGGUUAUGAAGUGGCAGCUGCCGCUCUGUGCCAGACAGAUGUGGUGUGCCUUGAGGAAUGGCAGACCUUAAGAUUUACUAGCAGACAGAUACAUUGUUUAAAGGGAGGGAAAUCCUUUUUUUUCUUUCUUUUUUCUCUCUUUAUUCUGUCUUACUGUUUUCUUUUCUUCUUCUUUUUUGCCCCAGCGCAGAACCAAAUAUAUUACAUUUGUUUCCCUCAAGCCUCUGACAUCUGCAGUCACAUGGUACUCCAUAGUUCUCGGCUGCUGGUUACUGAGGUAAGAACAAAGAGUUAGAACUCAGGCCUCCCGUGCCCUUAUUCUGUGUGAUUUUUUUCUCACUGUGCAUGUAGGUGGACAUGGCUUGCUGAGGAGGGUGUGGUCCUUAUUGCUUGACCUACACAGCAGGGCCUGUCUCUCCUCCCACUGCUGCAUCAAGUCAUCUUCCUAGCAGAUCAGUCCCCAGAGGCACAGUGCCUCAGCCAUGUGAUUCUCUGCAUUCACCAGCCGAAGUCUCAAGAUCAAGGCGUGUUGACUACAAGGCGUCUCUAGGAAACCCGUCUGCUUUCCAGGAACUAAUCCCGAGCCAGUGAGGGCAUCUGUGCCGGAAGCAUUGAGGCUGGGGCUCAUCUGGGUCUGCACAGGAUCUGACGAAAGUCCCUACAAGAACCCAAAAGAUAAAUCACCAACAGACACUGAUAAUGUCCUAUCCCGUAGCCUCUCCAAGGAGGACUCUCACCCACCCAGUCCCACGUGAAGGUCGCAUCUGACUGCCAGAGGCAGCAAAUACAAUGUAAAGUCUACACGCCGGCCGUCAAAGACGCGAAACUGUGCGGCAGUUACCACAGCCCAGCUCUGUGUCCCUGCAGAGCCCCUGUGAACUGAGACCUGCCGUGUGUACUCUAGAAUUCACAGAGUCAGGGGCCAGCUGCAGGGUCCCAUCUUUCAGAGCACCAGGCACUAUCUCCUGGGAUUCACCCACUGUCAAGCAGAAAAUGUUUUUAAUGAAUCUGAGCUGAACACGAA